rnacentral:rRNA from 1 species
ACGCUGGCGGCGCGCCUAACACAUGCAAGUCGAACGGAACUUGAGAGAGCUUGCUUUUUCAAGUUUAGUGGCGAACGGGUGAGUAACGCGUGAGUAACCUGCCCUGGAGUGGGGACGAACAGUUGGAACGACUGCUAAUACGCAUAAGCCACAGCACCGCAUGGUGCAGCGGGAAAGGAUUUAUUCGCUUCAGGAUGGACUCGCGUCCAAUUAGCUAGUUGGUGAGGUAACGGCCCACCAAGGCGACGAUUGGUAGCCGGACUGAGAGGUUGAACGGCCACAUUGGGACUGAGACACGGCCCAGACUCCUACGGGAGGCAGCAGUGGGGGAUAUUGCACAAUGGGUCGACGCGGCCG